rnacentral:rRNA from 1 species
GGGUAAAGAUUUAUCGCUUCUAGAUCGGCCUGCUCGGUAUCAGCUAGUUGGUAAGGUAAUGGCUUACCAAGGCAAUGACGCCUAGGGGGGUGAGAGCCUGUUCCCCAUCGAUGGAACUGAGACACGGUCCAUACACCUACGGGUGGCUGCAGUCGAGAAUAUUCCGCAAUGGGCGAAAGCCUGACGGAGCGACGCCGCGUGCAGGAUGAAGUCUUUCGGGAUGUAAACUGCUUUUGUAGAUUAGAAAGUUUAUUGAUCAAUCUAAGAAUAAGAGGUUGCUAAACUCGUGCCAGCAGCAGCGGUAAUACGAGUGCCUCGAGCGUUAUCCGGAAUUAUUGGGCGUAAAGGGUAUGUAGGUGGUCUUAUUAGUCUUCUGUUAAAUUCUUCGGCUUAACCGGGGACCUGCAGGGGAAACGGUAAGACUAGAGGAUGCGAGAGGUUUACGGAACUCAUAGUGUAGCGGUGAAAUGCGUUGAUAUUAUGGGGAACACCAAAUGCGAAGGCAGUUAACUGGAGCACUCCUGACACUGAAACACGAAAGCGUGGGUAGCGAAUGGGAUUAGAUACCCCAGUAGUCCACGCCCUAAACGAUCUUCUCUAGCUAUUUGGAGUAUCGACCCUCUGAGUGGCGUAGCUAACGCGUUAAGAGAAGCGCCUGGGUAGUACGGCCGCAAGGCUAAAACUCAAAGGAAUAGACGGGGACUUGCACAAGCGGAGGAUCAUGUGGUUUAAUUCGACAGUAAACGAAGAACCUUACCAGGGUUGGAAAUCUAGUUGAAGCUAAGCAGAAACGUUUAGCGCCGCAAGGCAAUUAGACAGGUGCUGCAUGGUCGUCGUCAGUUCGUGAUUUGAAUUGUUCCCUUCAGUGGGGUAACGAACGCAACCCUCAUUGCCUGUUACAAGUGUCAGGCGAGACUGCCCAGCUCUUAGUUUGGGAG